rnacentral:rRNA from 1 species
UACGUAGGGCGCAAGCGUUGUCCGGAUUCACUGGGUGUAAAGGGUGCGUAGGCGGGAGAGGAAGUCCGCGGUGAAAUCUCACAGCUCAACUGUGAAACUGCCGUUGAUACUGCUUUUCUUGAGUUCGGGAGAGGUUGAUGGAAUUCCAGGUGUAGCGGUGAAAUGCGUAGAUAUCUGGAAGAACACCAGUGGCGAAGGCGGUCAACUGGCCCGUAACUGACGCUGAGGCACGAAAGCGUGGGUAGCGAACAGG